rnacentral:rRNA from 1 species
CUGAGUAGAGCGGCGGACGGGUGAGUAACGCGUAGGAAUCUACCUGGUAGUGGGGGACAACUUGGGGAAACUCAAGCUAAUACCGCAUACGCCCUAUGGGGGAAAGCGGGGGACCUUCGGGCCUCGCGCUAUCAGAUGAGCCUGCGUAGGAUUAGCUAGUUGGUGAGGUAAAGGCUCACCAAGGCGACGAUCCUUAGCUGGUCUGAGAGGAUGAUCAGCCACACUGGGACUGAGACACGGCCCAGACUCCUACGGGAGGCAGCAGUGGGGAAUAUUGCGCAAUGGGGGCAACCCUGACGCAGCCAUGCCGCGUGUGUGAAGAAGGCCUUCGGGUUGUAAAGCACUUUAAGUGGGGAGAAAGGCUCGUUGGUUAAUAGCCAGCGGGAUUGAUGUUACCCACAGAAUAAGCACCGGCUAACUCCGUGCCAGCAGCCGCGGUAAUACGGAGGGUGCGAGCGUUAAUCGGAAUUACUGGGCGUAAAGCGCGCGUAGGCGGUUUGUUAAGUCAGCUGUGAAAGCCCCGGGCUCAACCUGGGAACUGCAGUUGAUACUGACCGACUAGAGUACGAGAGAGGGAGGUAGAAUUCCAUGUGUAGCGGUGAAAUGCGUAGAUAUAUGGAGGAAUACCGGUGGCGAAGGCGGCCUCCUGGCUCGAUACUGACGCUGAGGUGCGAAAGCGUGGGGAUCAAACAGGAUUAGAUACCCUGUAGUCCACGCUGUAAACGAUGUCUACUAGCCGUUGGGAGACUUGAUUUCUUAGUGGCGCAGCUAACGCUUUAGGUAGACCGCCUGGGGAGUACGGCCGCAAGGUUAAAACUCAAAUGAAUUGACGGGGGCCCGCACAAGCGGUGGAGCAUGUGGUUUAAUUCGAUGCAACGCGAAGAACCUUACCAGGUCUUGACAUCCA